GUGCGCCGCCUGACAUUGGCCUCGGAGUGCAUUGGCGGCUAGCGCGCCGACGCGAGCGGCGCGACCGGAUGGGGCACGAACCCUAGCGGCGCGACCGGAUGGGUAACGGACCUUAGCGGCGCGGCCGGAUGGGGCACGGGCGCCAGCGGCGGAGCCGGUUGGGGUGCGGCGGCCAACAGGCAUGAGAUUCAAUCGCGAACGAUGAUUAAUCGGGCCAUUAAUGCCAAUCGAUGCUCCGGGAAGCUGGUCCUUUCCUACUCUGCUCAUUUUCGCAAACCACAGUCCAAAAGCAAGGUGAUGGGUGUUGCUUAGGUUCCAGCUCUGUUUGGUUUAAGCUUCUCUCCAGGUUGGAAUUCUAGCGACGUACUGCUUGGUAUCUUUGGUUCUUCCAGUUGAUCCAAUGGCUAAUGGACAACCCAGACUGGCCGCUGCUCCUUUCCCACUCUCCUCACUCUUGCAAACCAAUCUCCAGCAGCGAUGGGUGAUGUUCAGGUGUUCUGUUGGAUUAGAAAGUUUAGGAAUUAACCAUUUGGAAGAUUCUAAUGCUUGGAUGUUCGAUACAAGGUUGAAUUCAAGCUAUGUACUGCUGGUUUCCUUUCUUUCCUCCACGGCGACCUGAUACGGCCCAUACGGGCUGCAAGGAGGCUCCAGAGUUACCACUACCAUUGGUCCUCCCUGCCAUUUGCUGAAUUAUGCUUCAUCGCAUAUUAGCCAGAAUUCGUGGCUGAUGUUCUAUAAUCGAUCAAGCCACUUCCCAGUGCUUAUGUAAUCUUUGUACUGGUAGGAACUAGGAAUUUGGAAACACAAAUCAGUACUACUAAUUUACCGUGGAGCCGUGACAACAUCGUGCUUUGUUUAUUCACUUUUAAAAGUUAAACUUAAACUGGCAAAGUGGUUACUGUUUUAUUUUAUCCCUGUUAGUCAAAGCUCAUGUAAUGUGACUUGCCAAGUUUCUGUUGAAUGUAUUGUUUAAAAAGAAAGAUCCGAAGGAAUGAUUAUUUGGCAUCAAAUUAAGUACUGUCCUGCAUGAACUUUGUCAUGUUUACCCUCUUCUAUAUUUUUUAUAUGCUUUACCAACUAUAUCUCCCGAUGUUAUAAGUAUUACCUUGUAGGCUGAUACUAUUACAGUGAAGACAUAGAAAAUGAAUUAUAGAAGUUAUUGAGCAAGGAGUGAGGCAGGUCAAUCUCUCUUGUCCUGUUUACUACAAUGUUAUAGUGAAUGUUCAGGAGUUUACCACAAAUACAUGUUUAAGUGAAGAGAAAGCAUCCUACCAGCGAUUAUCUCCCAGUCUUUAGGUUGACCAAUUUCAUACAAGAACCCUUUGUACUUAUCUUAUUUAUGAGUAUUAUGACACUUCGAUGACAUGAUUUUCCAGUGUAAUUUUCGGAUUUUGCAGAAAGAAACACCUAACAUCCAGCAGCUGACAGCAUCAUAAGCAUUGUUUCCCCUUACCAAUAACGGUGCCAUGUAAAGGGACUAGCUACACCUACUGAUUAAUAAUACAAAGAUUAAGAUUCCCUGGGAGUUGGGAUUGCAUCUUUAUUUUGCGGCCACUUCAGUUCUUUGCUUUGAUAUGGCAGGAUUGGUCAUCUGAUAACCCUAAAAG